rnacentral:rRNA from 1 species
AUUGAACGCUGGCGGCAGGCCUAACACAUGCAAGUCGAACGAGUGGCGGACGGGUGAGUAAUGUCUGGGAAACUGCCCGAUGGAGGGGGAUAACUACUGGAAACGGUAGCUAAUACCGCAUACCAUCGGAUGUGCCCGGAGGGGAUUAGCUAGGAGGUGGGGUAACGGCUCCCCUAGGCGACGAUCCCUAGCUGGUCUGGGCGGAUGACCAGCCACACUGGAACGGAGAGACGGUCCAGACUCGUACGGGAGGCAGCAGGGGGGACUAUUGGACACUGGGCGCAAGCCUGAUGCAGCCAGGCCGGGAGUAUGAAGAAGGCCUUCGGGUUGUAAAGUACUUUCAGCGAGGAGGCGUUACUCGCAGAAGAAGCACCGGCUAACUCCGUGCCAGCAGCCGCGUAAUUC